GACGAACUCUGGCGGCGUGCCUAAUACAUGCAAGUAGGACGCAGUUGCGAACGGGUGAGUAACGCGUCGGUAACUGCCUAUUAGAGGGGGAUAACUAUUGGAAACGAUAGCUGAUACCGCAUACUAGUAGAUGGACCUGCGUUGUAUUAGCUAGUAGGUAGGGUAAUGGCCUCCCUAGGCGACGAUACAUAGCCGGCGCGAGAGGGUGAUCUGCCACAAUGGGAAUGAGACACGGCCCAGACGCCGACGGGAGGGAGCAUGAGGGAAGCCACGCGAAUGGGGGGAACCCUGACCGAGCAACGCCGCCGGAUUGAAGAAGGUUUUCGGGUCGUAAAGCUCUGUUGUUAAGGAAGCGGUACUUAACCAGAAAGGGACGGCUAACUACGUGCCAGCAGCCGCGGUAAUUC
rnacentral:rRNA from 1 species